UCUCGUAAACCCUAAGCCUAAGGUUUCAUCAUCGACAGUUCUUCUGAACUCUACUUCGAGUUCCUCCAUGUCCAUUCGAACCUCUGCCUUCGCCACCGUCACCCUUCUCCGCUCUCUCACUCUUCCCUUCUCUCAAUGCCACCACCACUUCCGUUGCCGGAACUACGUCAUCCGUUCUCUCUGUAUCCCAACAUAUUCAGCGAAAGGACGACGACAACUUCCGAGAAUUCCUGCCUUUGCUUCCAGUUCUUCCGUUGAAGCGUUGGUGUAUGACCGGGAUUCCCCGGCCGAAUCUGAAGAGCCUUUGUGUUCUCCAUACAGUACUGGCGCUGAGGGGUUUGCGUCGGCGGAUUUGAAACACUUGGGAGCGCCUGCGCUUGAAGUCAAGGAGCUGGAUGAGUUGCCGGAGCAAUGGCGUAGAUCCAAAUUGGCUUGGCUUUGUAAAGAAUUGCCAGCACAGAAGCCGGGAACAUUGAUACGGCUGCUUAAUGCUCAGAGGAAAUGGAUGAAGCAGGAUGACGCGGCCUAUCUCAUCGUGCAUUGUUUGCGUAUUCGCGAAAAUGAGACUGCUUUUAGGGUGUACAAGUGGAUGAUGCAACAACAUUGGUACCGAUUUGAUUAUGCUUUAGCUACUAAGCUUGCUGAUUACAUGGGCAAGGAACGGAAGUUCUCGAAGUGUCGGGAAGUAUUUGAUGAUAUAAUUAAUCAGGGAUGUGUGCCAAGUGAAUCCACAUUUCAUAUAUUGAUUGUUGCCUACCUUAGUGCACCUAUCCAAGGAUGCAUAGAGGAAUCAAGUACCAUUUACAAUCGUAUGAUUCAGUUAGGAGGUUACCAACCACGUCUUAGCUUGCACAAUUCUCUCUUUAAAGCUCUGGUGAGCAAACCAGGGGAUUUGUCAAAGCAUCAUCUUAAACAGGCUGAGUUCAUAUAUCACAAUCUGGCAACAACUGGACUUGAGUUGCAUAAGGAUAUAUAUGGUGGUCUAAUUUGGCUACAUAGUUAUCAGGAUACUGUAGACAAAGAAAGGAUAAUGUCACUAAGGAAAGAAAUGCAUCAAGCAGGAAUUGAGGAAGAAAGAGAAGUCCUUGUAUCCAUCUUGAGAGCGAGCUCGAAAUUGGGGGAUGUGAUGGAAGCAGAGAGAUCGUGGCUUAAACUUAAGUCUUUUGAUGGUAGCAUGCCAUCCCAGGCUUUUGUUUACAAAAUGGAAGUAUAUGCAAAGGUGGGUAAUCCGAUGAAAGCUUUCGAGAUAUUUAGGGAGAUGGAGCAGUUGAACUCUAUAAGUGCUGCAGCAUAUCAGACAAUUAUUGGGAUUUUAUGUAAAUUUGAAGAGGUAACACUAGCAGAAUCCGUCAUGGAAGGCUUCAUAAAGAGUAAUUUAAAGCCCCUCAAGCCAGCUUAUGUUGAUUUGAUGAAUAUGUUUUUCAAUUUAAGCUUACAUGAUAAGUUAGAGUUAACCUUCUCCCAGUGCCUUGAGAAGUGUAAACCAAAUCGUACUAUUUACAGCAUAUAUUUGAACUCUUUGGUAAAAGUUGGUAAUCUCGACAGGGCUGAAGAAAUAUUUAGUCAGAUGCAAACAAAUGGAGAAAUUGGUGUAAGUGCUCGUUCAUGCAACAUUAUUUUAAGUGGGUACCUGUUAAGUGGGGAUUAUUUGAAGGCUGAAAAAAUAUAUGACUUGAUGUGUCAGAAAAAGUACGACAUUGAUCCUCCAUUAAUGGAGAAACUUGAUUAUGUCCUAAGCUUGAGUAGGAAGGAGAUUAAGAAGCCAGUAAGCUUGAAGUUGAGUAAAGAACAAAGGGAGAUUUUAGUAGGGUUGUUAUUAGGUGGCCUGGAGAUCGAAUCUGAUGAAGGGAGGAAGAAUCAUAGGAUCCAAUUUGAAUUCCACGAAGAUUGUAGCACCCACUCUCGUUUGAGGAGACACAUACAUGAGCAAUAUCAUGAGUGGUUACAUCCUGCUUCAAAGUUAAGCGAUAGUGAUACAGAUAUACCAUAUAAAUUCUGCACCGUUUCACAUUCAUAUUUUGGUUUCUACGCCGAUCAGUUUUGGCCACGAGGCCAUCCUGUAAUCCCUAAUCUAAUUCACCGGUGGCUUUCACCUCGUGUUCUUGCAUACUGGUAUAUGUAUGGAGGCUGCAGGAUAUCGUCAGGAGAUUUCGUACUGAAGCUAAAGGGAAGUCGUGAGGGUGUUGCGAAGAUUGUUAAAUCUCUGAGAGAAAAGUCCAUGUCUUGCAAGGUCAAAAGGAAGGGCAGGGUGUAUUGGAUAGGCUUACUUGGAAGCAACGCCACAUGGUUCUGGAAACUAAUUGAACCUUUCAUUCUGGAUGACUUGAAAGAUAGUUUACAGGCAGACAGCCUCAACAUGGAGAAGGCUGCAAAUGAAACUUACAAUAUCAACUUUGAUAGUCAAUCUGAUUCCGAUGAGGAGGCGUCCAGUUAGUACAAGAAUUUUGGCUCUAAUUCGCCGAAUGAUGAAUUCCUUCAACGUUGAAUGGUUUUGGGAGGCUUUGUAAAUCAAAUAGGGUCUUCCUUGUCCAAUUUGGAAGAUCUGUUCCAGCGUCAAUCCUCUCCAUGUGAACCUUGUUUGGGAAAGCAAACUACCAAAGAAGGUUUAAAUUUUCCUUUAGCAGGAGCUUAAAUUCAGAGAGGCAAACUUCGACCAUCGCUUUGCGGCCAGAGGGUUGUUCUUCACGGACAUUUUGGGAUUGAAGAUGAAUUGUGAUUGCCAUUUUGAUUGUUUAGAGAAGACAUGUCUGGAAGGAAAAGGUGCAACCUCUUAAAUAGCAAAUUGUUGCUUGCUUGAUUGAGGUAUAUUGGAGAAGUUCACUGGACUGAAUUAGACUGCAUUAGCUUUUGUACUCAGAAUGCAAUAUUAUAAUUAUUAGACUGAGAAGAACUGAAUUAUUUAUGUAGAUAUUAAAUAUUUCACACGUUGACAUAGUCUAUAGAAUGCGUGG